CAUCGCGAUGCUCCUCCCAAAAGGAGACAUCGUGAUGCGGAUACUUUCAAAGCGCCAGCUGAAGGAGUUGGUUCUAUACUCGCCUCAGCACAUCGCACGCCUUGAGAAGGCCGGGCAAUUCCCUAAGCGGGUCAAUCUCGGCCCGAACUGGGUGGGAUGGGUCGAGGACGAGGUUCUGGAUUGGCUCAAAGAACGCAUGGAGCGCCGCGAGCGGACCUGAGCGACCUCCUCUCGCAGGAGCAGGGUGGUCGGACGUGCACAGUUC
rnacentral:ncRNA from 1 species